AUAUAAAGGAAGGGGGCGUCUUUUCCUGGAGAAAUUGCUUCACCUCUUUCAGGAAAACCCGCCUUCUCUACAUGUUAAAAUCUUUAUCAGAACACGCCAACUGACUUCAGGUUUAGUACUAAAGAAAAAAAAAUGGGGGAUGUCCUGUUAACUUGACUUUAAAAAAUCUACGUCUGCAUUUGCCAUAACUUUUAAAUUCUCGCUCCCCAACCCAAACCUAAACAAAGAUUCAGGUUACAUCUCUUUCUGCAGCAAGCAGAAGGGGAAGCGGAGGUCUGGGUGACUUGAAAGUUUUAGUCAUUCUCUUGAAACUCGCAGCUCUCCGGUGUAGCCGAGGAACGCCACCGCUCCUGUCAGCCUGGGGGCUGACUUAUCUAGCAGUUCGCGUUCCCUUUCCGAAAAGUUUUCUCAUUAAGAUAAAGAAGGAACAUCUGAGCAACACAAAAGCUUAUGAUUUGCGACUAGAUUUGAAAUCAAGGCUACAAGAAAGACAAAACAUCGUUCUGGAGACCGCUCUUCCGGAUGGAAAGUCAGAGUCGUGCAGAACAUUGGCGCCAUCAGGUCAUGUAUAGAGCAGCAUUUCGUUGAAAGUGGAAUUAAACAUAAAGGUCCAGUUUGGAUAUUUAAUUACAGUUUGUGUGUGUGUGUGUGUGUGUGUGUGUGUGUGUGUGUGUGUUAGGGUUUAAAGUGAAUCUGGAGUACUGUCUGGCUACUAUCGAGGAGAAUUUAUCGCGCGGGUCAUUUGGAGAUCCAGAGAGAGCUAGAGCUGUGUUAGGGAAUCAGGGCGGGGGUGCGGGCAUUUAUGCGGUCUUUCCACCCACCCUCGCCUAAUCAGGCGGCUCUCAAUCAGGUUUUCAAAAUACUAACCUUGAUCUAAGAGCGUCUAUCUCUGCAUAAGUGGAGAAAAUGAUUCAUUGUUAGAGGUUUCUGGGCUUGGGGAAGAAGAAUGGUCGUCAGACAGGAGCAGAAGACCUGAAAGAUUGGUCUGGCCUCGCUUUACUCCAGGCGCCCUGUGGGAUGCUGACCUGUCCCAGGAUGCAGCUGCGCGCACCCCUCCUUGAGCUAUAAGCCUCUGGGCGGUGGAAAAGCAAUCGCUUGCGUCGUGACAGUUCCUACCUACUAAAUUGAAAAUUUGAAAAUCAGAGACCGCAGGCCCACCCAAAGUGUCUACCAACGUCCGCGGACCACAGGGCUUUUUGCAAGCCCAUGGAAAAGACAGCCUGAGAGACUUCGGAGUGCGUCCUGUCCCAGGCUGUGCCUCUCCUGCUCAAGGGAAGACUUGAGUGUAUCUCCCUAAAAACCGAUGGGGGCAGGGAAGGGGUCUAGAUCCCGUGGAGCCAGGCCUUGAUUGGAGGUCCGGGGCUGGAGAGAGGGAACACCAACCCGCCCUGACCCCCACAGCUUCCACUCACCCGAAGAGCUGCCUAAUUGGGCUGCGAGCAGCUGCGAAAUUUGUAAUCGUCUAAUAAGGCUUCCGCCUCGGUAAUUCUUAUCAAAAGGCAUAAAACUGAUAUUUUCACACUCAGCUCGCACUGCAGGCGCCGUUUAUAAACAUCCUUCAUCAGUGGGAUGAAAUUAAGCCUGCAUUGACAGAGGUCUCUGGAACUCAAUAUUUAAAAGCAAUAGAUCCGAAUUAGCAAAUUAUAAAUUUAAGUAGGGAAAGUCCCCACCAACUUGACUAUUGAACCCUUUGCCUCUGAGCUCCUCGGGGUGAGUAACCACACAUUUGAGAGAACUUAACCUGGAGGUUCUGUGGUGUCAGGCCAUCUCCGGAAACUCGGAUUCCCGAAACUGCGCCUGCUACGGCUCCUCCCGCCCGCCUUCUAGGGACUCGCCUGGGUCAGACCUGUGGAGACCGGGGCGAGGCACAGCUGGAGCCUGGGAGAAAACGCGGUCAAAGGAGGCGCAUCCAGGACUCCCGGGCAGCCUGCAGGCGCAGUAACAGAGCCCUGCUCUUGCGGACCCGAGCUUUCCCCGGCCCGCGGCCCUCACUGCCCACCUCCAGGGCACCAGCGCCAAGGGUACAGUGGGCCAUAGGACUGUAGGAGGCGGUGGAGAAUGGAGAGACUUUCGCGAUCAUAAGAAGGUGCAGAUUCUGGCAGAAUUCUGGUGGCGACUCCUUCGAUCCCUGAAGGUGGAAUCUCAGCUAAAACCACUCUGAAACUGUGGAUGUCACACUUGGUUCAGGGUUAGGAGACCGUGUCUUUGGAUUUUUGCCCAUCCCGUGUAACCAUUAUAAAUAUUAGUCUGGAAAAAGACUUUAGGAGAUUGCUUCUAGAGGUUCUUUCUACAAACUUGCCCUGCUCAGAAUCUGCAUAACUCCUCAGAGAUGGCAGAGCUGUAUACGGGCUCACCUUGGGAGUUACCGGUCCCAGACUCCGUUUUAGACCUUGCUACCCACAGUUUCUGAGGGUAAGAGAGGGGUGCUUUUAUUCACGCCAGCGGAGGUCGCCAAAAGCGGGCGAGGGCCUCCGUCUGGGAUCCACUGGUGUCUCUCACACUGUGGGCCAAGACUGAGGUUUGAUGGGCUUCCCAGCUGGGCAAGCCUGCUCCACGCGGGACACCCGGGAAUCCACUGGCGGGCAGACCCGGCCUUCGCCACCCGUCCCGCGGCAUUCCUCACUGCGGUCUGAUGCGCCAGCUGGGGCCAGUUGUCUCAAGCCGUUCUGGAGGACCAAUAGCGGAAAGCCAAGUUCUGCGACCAAGAGUCUGUACCAGUGACUCGGUGUUUCUUUUCAGCCAGUUCGCAGAGCGCCAGUAAGCUCUCCCGGUCCUCUACGGAAGAAACAGGGGAAGCAUUUCCAGUCUAAGAGAGAGGAUGGGAGAAAGAAAAUUAGGAACCACGCGGAGCCCGAAAUUAAGCAGGGCAGCCUGGAAGCUUCCCGGCUAAAAGCUAUGGCGCGAAACGCUAAAGUCCAUUACACCAUUUAUUCAUUGUGACAUUUCCAAGCCGACAAUCGCGCCUUAAGCACGCUUGUGGUUUGGAGGUGCCGGUUUUAUAUGCAUUUUAUUGUUUAGAAUGAUAAACAAAUCAGGACCAAUGGAAACCUGAUUCUAACCUCUUUCUACAGAACUCUGCCUGCAUAAUUCUGUAAAAGCCGAAAUCCAAGGUGGCGAGAGAGAGAGAGAGAGAGAGAGAGAGAGAGAGAGAGAGAGAGGGAGAGAGAGAGAGGAUCCAACUCUCUAACCGCCUCCCUUUACCGCGUUUCCCUACAAGUCCUAGGCAAACAGGGCAGAUAUAGCCUGGAGUUCGCUGAUCAAGAAAGAGGAUGGAACCGAGACCCUUUAGGCUUCUCCUCCCCUUCCACAUCCCCGUUUUCCCACUUGCCCAGGGAUGUCUGAAAGUCCAACUCGGCCAGUGUGGCAGGAAAGCUAAACUUUAUCUAAGUGCAAAAACCAGACGUUUUUCUCGGUUUCUGGGGAUGGGUGAGAGGCAGAAGUGGGACUGUGUGAGCCUCCUAUUCGCAGGCUUGGAUGAGAUUUUGAUAAGGGAACCCUCAGCUCAAGUUGUUAGCCAGGGUGAAUGAGCCCCACACAAGCCUGCGCCGUCCGCCCACAACUUUGGUGUCUAAGGUUCUCCCCAGCAACACUUCCACCUCCGGUGUAACUCAUAAAGCUAUGCUUUUACAAAAAAAAAAAAGUUGGCCCAAGAAUCUUGAGCCAUGAAUUUUAAAAACUUAAAUAACUUCUAUAUGCAUUUCUGCUACAAGAGACUGGUUCUUGUAACUGUGGCAAGGUUUUCUUCCUUUCCUUCCUAUCCUCCUCCUCUCCCUUCCUCCUUCCCUGCUUGCCUUCCUUCCUUCAUGGGAGUUCAGGGUUUAAGAGGUAGGCAAUGUGUUAUUAUAGUAAGAGCACAGGUUUGAAGUUAGUCAAAUAUGUAAUGGAAUUUUGAGCAAUUUACAUUUUUAACACUUGAGCUUUCUCAUUUGUAAAAUGAAGAUGGCAUCACUUGAAAAUUAUCAUAAAAAAUCACAAUGUUGAAUUAAGUGCUCAUCCACACAGGAGGUUCUCAGUGAAUAUAACGUUUCUCCUACCACAUCCUCCUUCACCUCUCUAGAGAGGUCUGGAUGUAGAGGAGCCACCAAAGGCCCAAUUUCCCCAGUGAAGAGUAGGUCAAUGUUCUUCAGCGAGUUGACCAUUUCUAGGGGUUCAGACGGUCAUGUGGUUAGACGCACCUCCCUGGGCUGCAGAGGCUCCCGAGAUGAGUGCAGCUGCCUGCAGCCACCUCUGUCGUGGCAACUAGGCCCAAGGAUGCACAAUGAACACCUUUUUCAUCUCCUUUGUUGCUGGUUUAUUUGAGUUAAUCUAGCACAUUUAAAAAUGCCUGGCACCCUUCUGUCAGUUUGCACAACCUUCUGAAUAUUGUGAAAAUGGCAGUAAUCAUAGCUGUUGAUUAUUAUUUGCCCCCACUGACGUUAUGGCACACAACCCUACUUUAAUUUGUCCAAAGCCAUAUUUUACCAAGCCAGGGCAGAAUUCAAACCCAGACGUCCGACGCGAAUGCCUGACUUUUAACUACUUUGCGGUGUUUGUCCUCUUUAGGGUGAGUUCAGAAAUGGACACUUUCGGUAAAUGGAUUCAUGAUAGUUUUUUACCACUCCAGCACAAGUGGUCCAGCCGCUAGCCUCUUGCCUCUGCCCACUUCCGCUGAGCAGCUGGGGGGCGUCUGGUGUCCUGUGGGGAGGAGCGCCACCUUCUCACGCCUACUCUUGCUGAGGUUAAACAGCAUUUCAGUGCCGAAUAAAACGGCCACGAAGGGGAAAAAGGAGAACGCUUAAAU